AGCGAACGCUGGCGGCAGGCCUAACACAUGCAAGUAAAGCGGCCGUAGCAAUACGGCAGCGGCAGACGGGAUAGUAAUACGUGGGAACGCGCCCUUCGGUUCGGAAUAACUCAGGGAAACUUGAGCUAAUACCGGAUACGCCCUUACGGGGAAAGAUUUAUUGCCGAAGGAACGGCCCGCGUCGGAUUAGCUAGUUGGUGAGGUAACGGCUCACCAAGGCGACGAUCCGUAGCUGGUCUGAGAGGAUGACCAGCAUCACUGGGACUGAGACACGGCCCAGACGCCUACGGGAGGCAGCAGUGGUGAAGAUUGGACAAUGGGCGCAAGCCUGAUCCAGCCAUGCCGCGUGGAUGAUGAAGGCACGAGGGUUGUAAAGUCCUUUUAACGGGGAAGAUAAUGACGGUACCCGUAGAAUAAGCCCCGGCUAACUUCGUGCCAGCCGCCGCGGUAA
rnacentral:rRNA from 1 species